rnacentral:snRNA from 1 species
GGAUGUGAGGGCGAUCUGGCUACGACAUCUGACACCCCAUUGAUCGCCAGGGUUCAUUCGGCUGAUCUGGCUGGCUAGGCGGGUGUCCCCUUCCUCCCUCAGUGCUCCAUGUGCGUCCCUCCCGAAACUGCAGGUGCCCUUGGUCGAAGAGGACGACCAUCCCGAUAGAGGAGGACUGUUCUUCGGUCAAGGGAAUACGAGUAGCUGCGCUCCCCUGCUAGAACCUCCAAACAAGCUCUCAAGAAGAAGUACAAAUGGCUAAUACAUGAAGAAAUUAUCAACAUCCUCAGCCAUAAAGGAAAUGCAAAUCA